CAGGUCGGCCGGGAGAUCGCGGCUUCGCUAUGUCGAAGUCGAGGAAAGUCCGCGCUCCACAGGGCAAGAUGCCGGGUAACCCCCGGGGCGGGGUAACCUGCCGGAUCGGGCCACAGAAACAUACCGCCCUCACGGGCAAGGGUGAAACGGUGGUGUAAGAGACCACCGGCGUCCGCAGCAAUGCGGCGGCCAGGCAACCCCCAUCUGGAGCAAGGCCAAGCAGGCGCAAGCGCCCCUUGUGGGCGCAGGAAGCGGCUCGUUUCCUUUGAGCGUCGGGUAGGCUGCUUGAGCGCAUCGGAGACGGUGCGCCUAGAGAGAUGAUCUCCAAAACCGAGGCAGUCCCCGCGUGGGAUACCCCUUGGUUGAACAGAACGCGGCUUAUAGGCUGACCUGGGGC
rnacentral:RNase_P_RNA from 1 species